rnacentral:rRNA from 1 species
CUCAAAGGAAUUGACGGGGACCCGCACAAGCGGUGGAUGAUGUGGAUUAAUUCGAUGCAACGCGAAAAACCUUACCUACCCCUGACAUGCCCGGAACCCUGGUGAGAGCUGGGGGUGCCCGAAAGGGAACCGGGACACAGGCGCUGCAUGGCUGUCGUCAGCUCGUGUCGUGAGAUGUUUGGGUUAAGUCCCGCAACGAGCGCAACCCUUGUCAUUAAUUGCCAUCAUUGGGUUGGGCACUUUAAUGAGACUGCCGGUGACAAACCGGAGGAAGGUGGGGAUGACGUCAAGUCCUCAUGGCCCUUAUGGGUAGGGCUUCACACGUCAUACAAUGGUCGGUACAGAGGGUUGCCAAGCAGCGAUGCGGAGCCAAUCCCAGAAAGCCGAUCGUAGUCCGGAUCGGAGUCUGCAACUCGACUCCGUGAAGUCGGAAUCGCUAGUAAUCGCGGAUCAGCAUGUCGCGGUGAAUACGUUCCCGGGUCUUGUACACACCGCCCGUCACACCAUGGGAGUGGGUUCUACCAGAAGUAGGUAGCCUAACCGCGAGGAGGGCGCUUACCACGGUAGGAUUCAUGACUGGGGUGAAGUCGUAACAAGGUA